rnacentral:rRNA from 1 species
GGCUGAUUAUGGNUUAUGACCUGAAAAGUUUAGCCAUAUGGCGGUUAUGCGUCUUGCUAGAGAAACAUGUUUAUUAAUACGAUAAUACACGAAUAUCUUACUUAUAAUUUACCUUACACACCGUCGUCGGAAGGGCUGUUUAUAAAAAUAGUUCUUAUACUGAAUCAGUAUUAAGUCAGAUCAAGGCGUAGGUCCUGUUUAUAAGAUUAAAUGUGUCUCUUUAAUU